AUACUUACCUGGUGUCGGGCUUCCGAUGAUCAUUGUGGUCGGCGCCCCGUGUCGAGGCCGUACCAUUGCACUGCGGUUGGUUGAAGCACGCCACUACCCCAAACCGGAGCAGAUGGGACAUGUAAUUUUUGGUAGUGGGGCUCGGCGUGCGCGCCAGCCCCUU
rnacentral:snRNA from 1 species